rnacentral:sRNA from 1 species
UAAUUUAAGUCUGAGAGUGGUGCAGUAUUCUAGUCAGUACAACUAAUUUUGAAGGCGGGGCUAAAAAUCCGUCAAAGGGCACAUCGAUGAAGUUCCUGGUUUCGGCUGCUGACGCCCAGUUGGGAGUCGUUUCUGGGAGUAAGGGGGAUGGGGCGAUCUGCAAUGGCAUGCAGGCGUUGACCCUACUCUCGUGGAGACUCGUACAAACUAUUAACGGGAUAAACCUGCAUUGUGGUGCAAGCUACUUGCAGCGUAGCCUGCCUUGAGUGAAAUAGGCGGAACAUGGUUGUGGCUUUAGAAUCCAUGGGCCCAUGGAAGAAAGGCUUUGUCAUCGAAACCUAUUUUGCAAAAGAGGCUAGAAAUUAGUAUGGCUGUAGAGGAAAUCUCCUAGACUGUUCUCAUGGAUGAGAAGUAUAUUUAGGAUUACAGUGCGGACUAAGUGGCAAUCUAGCCCUAUUUUUGGCGACGAUAUA